rnacentral:rRNA from 1 species
GUAGGAACGCCAAGUGAGUGAUACCAUGCUUCCAGGAAAAGCCACUAAGCUUCAGUUGAAUGAAGACCGUACCGUAAACCGACACAGGUGGGUAGGAUGAGAAUUCUAAGGCGCUUGAGAGAACUCAGGAGAAGGAACUCGGCAAAAUAGCACCGUAACUUCGGGAAAAGGUGUGCCCUUUGUAUGUGUAGCGCCUCGCGCGUGAAGCAGAAUAGGGUUGCAAUGAAAUGGUGGCUGCGACUGUUUAAUAAAAACAUAGCACUCUGCAAACACGAAAGUGGACGUAUAGAGUGUGACGCCUGCCCGGUGCCGGAAGGUUAAAUGAUGGGGUGCAAGCUCUUGAUUGAAGCCCCGGUAAACGGCGGCCGUAACAAUAACGGUCCUAAGGUAGCGAAAUUCCUUGUCGGGUAAGUUCCGACCUGCACGAAUGGCGUAACGAUGGCCACACUGUCUCCUCCUGGGACUCAGCGAAGUUGAAAUGUUUGUGAAGAUGCAAUCUCCCCGCGGCUAGACGGAAAGACCCCGAGCACCUUUACUGUAGCUUUACAUUGGACUUUGAUAACAUUUGUGUAGGAUAGGUGGGAGGCUUUGAAGUGGGUUCGCCAGAAUUCAUGGAGCCAACGUUGAAAUACCACCCUGAUGUUGUUGAGGUUCUAACCUAGAUCCAUUAUCUGGAUUGGGGACCGUGUAUGGUAGGCAGUUUGACUGGGGCGGUCUCCUCCCAAAUUGUAACGGAGGAGUACGAAGGUACGCUAGGUACGGUCGGAAAUCGUGCUGAUAGUGCAAUGGCAAAAGCGUGCUUAACCGCGAGACUGACAAGUCGAGCAGAUGCGAAAGCAGGUCAUAGUGAUCCGGUGGUUCUGUAUGGAAGGGCCAUCGCUCAACGGAUAAAAGGUACGCCGGGGAUAACAGGCUGAUUCCUCCCAAGAGUUCAUAUCGACGGGGGAGUUUGGCGCCUCGAUGUCGGCUCAUCACAUCCUGGGGCUGUAGCCGGUCCCAAGGGUAUGGCUGUUCGCCAUUUAAAGUGGUACGUGAGCUGGGUUUAAAACGUCGUGAGACAGUUUGGUCCCUAUCUGCCGUGGGCGUUGGAAGUUUGAGUGGACCUGCUCCUAGUACGAGAGGACCGGAGUGGACGCACCUCUGGUGUACCGGUUAUGACGCCAGUCGUAUCGCCGGGUAGCUAUGUGCGGAAGAGAUAACCGCUGAAAGCAUCUAAGCGGGAAACUCUCCUCAAGAUGAGACUUCCCGAGGGUUUAACCCUCCUAAAGGUUCGUCGAAGACUACGACGUUGAUAGGUCGGGU